GUUCAGCUGACGAGUCCUAAAUAGGACGAAACGCGCGUCCUGGAU
rnacentral:hammerhead_ribozyme from 1 species